rnacentral:rRNA from 1 species
ACUCCUACGGGAGGCAGCAGUAGGGAAUAUUGGUCAAUGGAUGGAAGUCUGAACCAGCCAUGCCGCGUGCAGGAAGAAGGCCUUCUGGGUUGUAAACUGCUUUUGCCAGGGGAUAAAAAGACCGUGCGCGGUUAAUUGAAGGUACCUGGUGAAUAAGCCACGGCUAACUACGUGCCAGCAGCCGCGGUAAUACA